rnacentral:rRNA from 1 species
GCCAGUCGUAACAAGGUAACCGUCGGCUUGCUGCUUUGCUGACGAGUGGCGGACGGGUGAGUAAUGUCUGGGAAACUGCCUGAUGGAGGGGGAUAACUACUGGAAACGGUAGCUAAUACCGCAUAACGUCGCAAGACCAAAGAGGGGGACCUUCGGGCCUCUUGCCAUCGGAUGUGCCCAGAUGGGAUUAGCUAGUAGGUGGGGUAAAGGCUCACCUAGGCGACGAUCCCUAGCUGGUCUGAGAGGAUGACCAGCCACACUGGAACUGAGACACGGUCCAGACUCCUACGGGAGGCAGCAGUGGGGAAUAUUGCACAAUGGGCGCAAGCCUGAUGCAGCCAUGCCGCGUGUAUGAAGAAGGCCUUCGGGUUGUAAAGUACUUUCAGCGGGGAGGAAGGGAGUAAAGUUAAUACCUUUGCUCAUUGACGUUACCCGCAGAAGAAGCACCGGCUAACUCCGUGCCAGCAGCCGCGGUAAUACGGAGGGUGCAAGCGUUAAUCGGAAUUACUGGGCGUAAAGCGCACGCAGGCGGUUUGUUAAGUCAGAUGUGAAAUCCCCGGGCUCAACCUGGGAACUGCAUCUGAUACUGGCAAGCUUGAGUCUCGUAGAGGGGGGUAGAAUUCCAGGUGUAGCGGUGAAAUGCGUAGAGAUCUGGAGGAAUACCGGUGGCGAAGGCGGCCCCCUGGACGAAGACUGACGCUCAGGUGCGAAAGCGUGUGGAGCAAACAGGAUUAGAUACCCUGGUAGUCCACGCCGUAAACGAUGUCGACUUGGAGGUUGUGCCCUUGAGGCGUGGCUUCCGGAGCUAACGCGUUAAGUCGACCGCCUGGGGAGUACGGCCGCAAGGUUAACACUCAAAUGAAUUGACGGGGGCCCGCACAAGCGGUGGAGCAUGUGGUUUAAUUCAAUGCAACG